CCUACGGGCGGCUGCAGUGGGGAAUUUUGGACAAUGGGGGCAACCCUGAUCCAGCCAUGCCGCGUGAGUGAAGAAGGCCUUCGGGUUGUAAAGCUCUUUCGGCCGGGAAGAAAUCGCUCAAGCUAAUACCUUGGGUGGAUGACGGUACCGGAAGAAGAAGCACCGGCUAACUACGUGCCAGCAUCCGCGGUAAUACGUAGGGUGAGAGCGUUAAUCGGAAUUACUGGGCGUAAAGCGUGCGCAGGCGGCGGAAGUCCCCGGGCUUAACCUGGGAACUGCGUGUGGGACAGGGGUGGUCGAGUGCGGCAGAGGGGGGUGGAAUUCCACGUGUAGCAGUGAAAUGCGUAGAGAUGUGGAGGAACACCGAUGGCGAAGGCAGCCCCCUGGGUCGACACUGACGCUCAUGCACGAAAGCGUGGGGAGCAAACAGGAUUAGAUACCCGGGUAGUC
rnacentral:rRNA from 1 species